UACGGAGGAUGCAAGCGUUAUCCGGAAUGAUUGGGCGUAAAGCGUCCGCAGGUGGCAAUGUAAGUCUGCUGUCAAAGCGUCUGGCUCAACCAGAUAAAGGCAGUGGAAACUACAUAGCUAGAGUAAGGUAGGGGUAGAGGGAAUUCCUGGUGUAGCGGUGAAAUGCGUAGAUAUCGGGAGGAACACCAGUGGCGAAGGCGGCUUCCUGGACCUGUUCUGACACUGAGGAGCGAAAGCGUGGGGAGCGAUCCGG
rnacentral:rRNA from 1 species